GGAGGAGAGGGGGGGAAAGCAGCACAGGGAGGGCUGGGAACCUUCUUGCUGCUCCACAUCCUCUGCAGCCAGACAGCUGCAAUGUGCUGCUGCCAGCCCUGCAGCCACCGCGGCCUCUGCAGCUGGGAAUGGGUCAGAAAGAGCAAAAUCAGGUGAACAUCCCCAGCUCUCCCAGCCUGGCUGCAGACCUCAGAGCAUCCCCACGGCCUCCUCUGGACUCAUUCCAGCAGCUCCACAUCCUUCUUAUGCUGAGGACUCCAGGCAAACAUGUCACAGAGACCAAGAUUCUUCAGCCCAGAAAAGGGAGAGCUGAUGUCAUCUAAGAUAAAGAGUUGCAAAAUCCAGAGUCCCCUGCAAUGAAGGAUUUCUCUCUAUAUGGGUCAGUUGGGUGACAGUUCAAACCCAGCAAAAAGAAGGCUUCUUUUUUUUCUAUGAAGCACAGCUAAAUUGGGCAACUCCUCAUAAUGCCAAGGAUUUAGAAAAAUGAAUAACAGAGAAACUCAACCACCAAGGAACAUUCUGUUAUUAAAUCAACAGCAGCACAUC